rnacentral:rRNA from 1 species
AUUGAACGCUGGCGGCAUGCCUUACACAUGCAAGUCGAACGGCAGCACGGGAGCAAUCCUGGUGGCGAGUGGCGAACGGGUGAGUAAUAUAUCGGAACGUGCCCAGUAGUGGGGGAUAACUGCUCGAAAGAGCAGUUAAUACCGCAUACGACCUGAGGGUGAAAGGGGGGGAUCGCAAGACCCCUUGCUAUUGGAGCGGCCGAUAUCAGAUUAGCUAGUUGGUGGGGUAAAGGCCUACCAAGGCAACGAUCUGUGGUUGGUCUGAGAGGACGACCAGCCACACUGGGACUGAGACACGGCCCAGACUCCUACGGGAGGCAGCAGUGGGGAAUUUUGGACAAUGGGCGCAAGCCUGAUCCAGCAAUGCCGCGUGAGUGAAGAAGGCCUUCGGGUUGUAAAGCUCUUUUGUCAGGGAAGAAACAGCAGCUCUAACACAGUAUGCGAAUGACGGUACCUGAAGAAUAAGCACCGGCUAACUACGUGCCAGCAGCCGCCGUAAUAC